rnacentral:rRNA from 1 species
AUUGAACGCUGGCGGCAUGCCUUACACAUGCAAGUCGAACGGCAGCACGGGGCAACCUGGUGGCGAGUGGCGAACGGGUGAGUAAUGCAUCGGAACGUGCCAUUGAGUGGGGGAUAACGUAGCGAAAGUUGCGCUAAUACCGCAUAUUCUGUGAGCAGGAAAGCAGGGGGACCGCAAGGCCUUGCGCUCUUUGAGCGGCCGAUGUCAGAUUAGCUAGUUGGUGAGGUAACGGCUUACCAAGGCGACGAUCUGUAGCGGGUCUGAGAGGAUGAUCCGCCACACUGGAACUGAGACACGGUCCAGACUCCUACGGGAGGCAGCAGUGGGGAAUUUUGGACAAUGGGCGCAAGCCUGAUCCAGCCAUGCCGCGUGAGUGAAGAAGGCCU